UUAACCAUGUGCUGUGCCUAGGAAUGAAGACAAGAGUUCAGAGUGAAGAACACAAACUGGAAGUGCUGUCUUUGUUGUUGAAAGUGUAUGCUACACUGAAGAGGCUCUGAAACGUACAUCAACCAGGGAUAAAGAGAAAGUUAACACUGAAAUGUUUUGUACUUAUUUGAAGUUCAUCUGAUGCUACGUGAGAUCAGGUACCACUGUUCCUCUACGACCCGCGCCUACCCGGAGAGACCUGCAGCCUGUCGCCGCUAACCCAGCUAUUCUCCUCUGCUGCUAAGAAGGGGGCUCUUUUGUAAUUAUCAGAAGGACUUUUUGUUUCAUUUGUCGCCCUCUCUGCGGGUUGUCUAUUUUCCCAUUAUCUACAUCUGAAGAGGAUCUAUGUCUUCCCUGUGUUUACAUUAAAGGACUCUGUUUUUGUUAAA